AUGUGCACAGUCCAAAAGGCACUCCUGAACAAUUUUUGGGUCAGCCAAAUAAACACCCAACAUGGCCUAUCCUUGGGGCACAUCCAGGAGUUCGCCCUCCUUUGGGAAAGGGUGUCUGGGAUCAACCUUGUUGCGGGAGUCCGUGAUACUAUCCUAUGGAAGCUCACUACAAGUGGCGAUUAUUCUGCUUCUUCGGCCUACAUGGCGCAGUUCGAGGGCCAUCUCAGGAGCAACAUGAACAUGUCCGUUUGGAAAGCUUGGGCUCCUCCCAAGUGCAAGUUUUUUGCUUGGCUCGUCAUCCAGAAUCGUGUUUGGACAGCGGAUAGGCUGCAGCAUCGGGGCUGGCCCAAUUAUGGGCUUUGCCCUUUAUGCAAGCAAGUUAUUGAAUCUGCACCCCAUCUUCUAUUCCAAUGCAUAUUUUCCCAUCGCGUUUGGGCUAAUGUGGCUUCAUGGAUUGGCGUAAAACAAUGCUAUCACUGCAGGCUGGCGUAA
rnacentral:rRNA from 1 species